rfam:Ovis aries breed Texel chromosome 8, whole genome shotgun sequence.
CCCUGGUGGCUCUGAUGGUAAAGACUCUGCUUGCAAAGCAGGAGGCCUGGGUUCCAUCCCUAGAUCAGGAA